rnacentral:rRNA from 1 species
UUGGAGGGCAAGUCUGGUGCCAGCAGCCGCGGUAAUUCCAGCUCCAAUAGCGUAUAUUAAAGUUGUUGCAGUUAAAAAGCUCGUAGUUGAAUUUCGGGGUCAGUAGGUUGGUCGUGCCACCGGUACGUACUGGUCUCACUGAUUCCUCCUUCCUGAUGAGCUGUAAUGCCAUUAAUUUGGUGUUGCAGGGAAUCUGGACUGUUACUUUGAAAAAAUUAGAGUGUUUAAAGCAGGCUAACGCUUGAAUACAUUAGCAUGGAAUAAUGAAAUAGGACGUUCGAUCCUAUUUUGUUGGUUUCUAGGAUUGACGUAAUGAUUAAUAGGGAUAGUUGGGGGCAUUAGUAUUCAAUUGUCAGAGGUGAAAUUCUUGGAUUUAUUGAAGACUAACUACUGCGAAAGCAUUUGCCAAGGAUGUUUUCAUUAAUCAAGAACGAAAGUUAGGGGAUCGAAGACGAUCAGAUACCGUCGUAGUCUUAACCAUAAACUAUGCCGACUAGGGAUCGGAUGAUGUUAAUUUUUUAAUGACUCAUUCGGCGCCUUACGGGAAACCAAAGUGUUUGGGUUC